UGUUGCACUGUUUGUCACUUCGAGCUCUGCUUCCUGUUGUCACUCAUCCACGCGGCUUCCCAAAACGUAAAGAUCAAAGAUCGGAAGCUACCAGCUCGAAGAAAAAAAGACAUCACGGACGUAUUGCCGUUUCAUGGCGGCUAGACAGACAGCAACAGUUGUCACGAUGUCUGAUCUGUGAUGAGACGAGAGCGGGGGAGCGAAUAUUGCGGCGCUGCUAUUUCCCUGCCGCGUCCCGCCUGCUGAGAACGUUCAUCACCUGGGACAAGCAGGGGAGCCUCGUACGUGUGUCCGUCUGCGUGCGCGUGUCAUCCUGGGAUCUCUGCGUCAUUUAGCGUGUCUGCCUCGUCCCGGUUCCGUCGAGGUCUGUCUGCGGGAGAGCUGAAUCCAGACGCCCGGGCUGGCCGAUGAUCCGCUCAGCGGGGACACGAGCUGUUGCGUCUGCACGCAGUCAUAGCUGACGAUCUUGCGGAGUCGGACACGCACAGCGAGCGCAAGGAAUAGCAGACAGGCGCCUCGAGAGGCAGACAGAAGCGAGAGGAGGGGGCGACAGCCUGUUACGGCUCCCUCGACCCUUUGCGGAUCGAGUCGAGCCCCCUCCUAUUCGACCAACAACCCCCGUUUGUCGGAUGGGGGGGAAACAGAGCACGGCGGGGCGGUCCCGCGGUGCUUUUCCCGGCGUUUCUACGGAUGACAGCGCGGUACCGCCGUCGGCCCACUUCGGCCACUACCGGUCGGGCGGCACCAUGGGCCUGCGGAGCCGCUCGGUGAGCUCCGUGGCCGCGAUGGCUAUCGAGCAAACACCCACGGUGCCCUUCGGCUUUUACACUCCGAGAGGCACGGACUCAGAUCGAGCCGGAGGAGGGUCAGGGGGCACUCCUGCCGCCUCUCACGGAACAGGCUAUCAGGACGGUGGCGGCGGACGGCAUCACGCAGACGGGGUGCUCUAUUUGGGGUCCCGGGGGUCGCUGGCUGACACCUUACCCCUGCACAUCGCUCCCCGCUGGUUCAGUGCUCACAGCGUUGGGUCCUCUAGCCAGCCCCCCACGGACUUAACGGUUUCAAGCUUUCAGUUUUUGUGUAGUCCUUGUCAGCUCGUCAUCCAUCAUCAUUCCCUGUGCUCUGUCCCAUCGUUUCCCCGCUCUAGAUUCAAGUGUCCUGUCUGCUCCAAAUCUGUGGCGUCGAGUGAAAUGGAAGUUCACUUCAUCAUGUGUCUGAGCAAGCCUCGACUGUCAUACAAUGAUGAUGUGUUGGCGAGGGAUGCUGGUGAGUGUGUGAUCUGUCUUGAAGAACUGCAGCAAGGAGACACUAUAGCCAGACUGCCGUGCCUCUGUAUCUACCACAAAAGCUGUAUAGACUCGUGGUUCGAGAUCAACCGGUCCUGCCCUGAACACCCGUCUGACUGACUGACCACAGGCCUCCUGUCAAUACUGUUCAAGAACGAAUGAAUUCUGGUGUGGUGCUUUUGAAGAAUAUGUACGGGAACGCAUUCCCCCGCCUCUCCUGAUUUCUGACCAAUGAGCUGACAGAAUAAUCACAAUCCCGCUCAUCUCAUUGGUGGAGGAUGACUCAUGGUUAUGCCGUGGAUAUGUGGACACAAGUGCAACCAAAUCAGAAGAAACAAUCAAACAAAUAUGUAUAUCAGAAUAUAUUACCCUAAGAAGAUAACUAUUCAAAAUGAACCAACUCAAACAUUAGCCACUCAAAAUGUGGCUCACCAUGAGACUAUCGUUUUUGCCAGAGACCUCACAUCUGCCUAAAAGACAAAAGACAAAAGACAACCUGAACAGUCCUUCAAAGGGCUUCACAUGCCUCAUCUCCUUCCCUACCCCAACUUGUGUGUGGCCACUUGUCUCCCUCAUGGUUAAGGUCUUCCUUCUUGUCAGGCUUGAGGUCUGCCAGUAAUUCGUUUCUAUUCCUUUCCAUGGCCUUAACUUGGAAACUGAAGAAGGCUGACAAAAAAGGCAACUGAGUAGGAAAGAGGCAGGAAUCAAAAUCACACCAAGAGGGAAAAGCGGCACAAGGACAACAACACGAUAAACAAGACCACAGUAACUUGUACAUUAACAGGUCACUCUGUUGAGAGCUCCCUCUCAAUGAAGUUAGAACAUGCUUGGUCUCAGUGUGCAAACAAAACAUUCUUUUUCCCCACCACACUCUUCCCUGCCACCAUGCCAAAUGAUAAUUUGAAUGCUCCUUAAAGGAGCAUUGUGUAAGAUUUGCACUACAAUCAUUUAUUAAAUAGCCUAAUAUUUCAAGAUACAUUAAAGAAACAUGUUUUGGUGAAUAUUUCUAACACAGUUCUCAACGGUUAAGAUUUUCCUAUUUUAAAAGUCGAUUCUCAGCCCGUAAAAGUUAUUGUUUUGAUUAUGUGUUGACAAUGGCUGUCCCGCCCUCCACUGCCAGCCAAUUACAAAAUAAGUACUAUGUUCAGAUUGCCAGAGGUCUUUGGGCUUCGUAAACAAAGGUUGCAAAAAUAAGACAAGGAUAUGAAUAUACAUCAUGCACUUGUACUAAAAGUAUGUUUACUUAUACUACAAGAACGUGGACUGUUACUUGUACUACAAGUAUGUGUACUUGCGUGCACUUGUACUUCAAGUACGUGUACUUGUGUGUACUAGUACUACAAGUUUGUGUACCGGUACUACAAGCACGUGUACUUGAUCUACAAGUGUGUGUGUACUUGCAGUUGUUUAAUUAAUUGCUAGUUAUGGUAUUUGGUAACACUUUAUUUGACAGUGGGGACAAAAGACUUGUCAUUAGACAAUCAUAAUUCAAGUCUUAUGAUGCCGCUUCCAAAUAAAGUGUUACCUAUUAACUCAAAUAAAUCAACAAAUAAGCCGCAGGAUUCAAAAUGAAGGAAAAAAGUAGUGGUUUGCAGUCCGAAAAUUACGGUAAUAUUUUAUUGUAAUGCUACUCUCAGUUGAGUUAACUUUUUGGCUACUUUACCCACCUCUGUGUAUUUGUAAUACAUGUAACUGUACUUGUGUGUACUUGUACUACAUGUACGUGUACUUGUGUGUACUUGUACUAUCAGGAUACCAGAUAAUACAGCCUUAUUCUCCAUUGUGAAGCAUUUAUACUGCAGCCAAAAUGGGGAAAGAGAUGUUGUUUUGAUCCUGGUUGCAGUACCAUUUUUGGCCACCAAUCUUACAUAUUGCUCCUUUAGAUCCUGAGCUAAAUAGAUCUGAUUUGGAGAGAUGUCAAUGGCAUUGAAAAAUGGUUGCAGAAGGGAGGGGUGGUCUAGUGAGAAACAGCCUGAGUUUGCUCUGUUUCCAUUUGACAGAAAAGGCCAGCAAUGUAGUACACUCUCUGAUUGUGUAACAUUGAGAUGCUGUAAUAUCAGGCUUUUGUGCAUGUGUGUCUGAGUGAAAGGUUAGAGGCUGACUGGGAGAGUGCUCUGUGUGUCUGUGUGUUGGUCAGUGUAUUCAAAUGUUUACAGCCUAGAUGUUCAUGUUCCCUCUGUGUGACUGGCAGUCCUCCCUUUACUUUGCUGAUGUUUACAGCUAUUGAGAAGCUACUGUGUGUGGCAUAAUGUACACAUUACUCAUGUACCUUUUUUGGUUUGUCUCACUUUUUUUUAGACGAGCCUAAUUUUUUUCAUAUGGUUGUUUCUUUUCCGAAAGAGUAUGAGUGUCUAAAUGUGUGCCACUCUCUGUAUGUAUGAUUCAAAAGACGCUUUUUGAUCUAUGCUACUGUUCCCGCUAGCAUAGGCCGGACUGAGCGUGAGGCCGACCUGGAAAUGUGAGCCACUAGGACCCAAAAAUAGACUGUGGUCCCACUGUAGAUCUACGUAAAGGGGCUCAACUGCUUAUUUGUUCAUAUUUAACAAUAUUUGUUUAAUAUUACAAUCCUGUGAGAUGUUACUCACGCUUCAGAAUGCCAAUAGUUGAUUUACAAAGAUGACUACAAAGAAAACAUGCUUGAACAAAGCUACUGUAAACAAAUGGUGGAAUAAAUUGUGCUAGAUGACAUUUCAUUCACAUGUACUGAGUUUCUUAUUUAAUACUUCACUUGUGUACGUGCAGAGUUUUUACAUCAAUGUAACCACACAGUAGAUGAUACAGUUGAAACCACAGUGUCAGGGGCAUCACUAGGCCUAAUACAAUACUGAGGCACAGAGGGGCACCGUUGAGCAAGCAUUAUUCAUUUUGGUCAUAUAAACAAAUAGCAAUAAGUUGCAUCAGUAUUGAUACAGUUCAAAUGCCACAUAUCAUAUUAACACAAUAUUAGACAAAGCACUUGAGUGAGAACCUCACAC